rnacentral:rRNA from 1 species
CAGUCGCCGCGGGAAUACGUAGGGGGCAAGCGUUGUCCGGAAUUAUUGGGCGUAAAGCGCGCGCAGGCGGUCAUUUAAGUCUGGUGUUUAAUCCCGGGGCUCAACCCCGGAUCGCACUGGAAACUGGGUGACUUGAGUGCAGAAGAGGAGAGUGGAAUUCCACGUGUAGCGGUGAAAUGCGUAGAUAUGUGGAGGAACACCAGUGGCGAAGGCGACUCUCUGGGCUGUAACUGACGCUGAGGCGCGAAAGCGUGGGGAGCAAACAGGAUUAGAUACCCCCGUAGUCCCUGUCUCUUAUACC